UUCAAUAAAUAAUUGUUAAAAUUAGAACAACGUGAUUGCGAGGUGAGAUGUUAAAUUGACAUCUUGAAAAGCAGAAACUUAGUAUGGGCAUCCAAACACUAGAAUCAGCACCGGAUUACGAAACUUCCAAGAAAUGUAACGACUGAAAGUAAUGGACGAGCCUAUUGUUCUGUGCGAGAAAGGCGCAAGGGGAGAAGAAAAGACACACACACCAUACUUUUAAGGACUGUGGAGGAUUCACCACCACACCGGGAAGCAACAGCCUGGGCUCCAGAGUCGGACACUACACUCACCAGACUACAGAGGAUUCUCAUGAAGUUUCCUCAUGGUCUGGGACCCUAGCUCUUAUCGUAACAAGUUGUUUGGCAUGAGACCCAGUCACAAGGGCCCUUCCCGACUGGACUCAAGGAACACAAAAAGGUCAACUUGUGUU
ensembl:lncRNA novel transcript